rnacentral:rRNA from 1 species
GGCGAACGGGUGAGUAACACUGGGUGAUCUGCCCUGCACUUCGGGAUAAGCUUGGGAAACUGGGUCUAAUACCGGAUAGGAGCCAUCUUUAGUGUGGUGGUUGGAAAGUUUUUCGGUGUAGGAUGAGCUCGCGGCCUAUCAGCUCGUUGGUGGGGCAAUGGCCUACCAAGGCGGCGACGGGUAGCCGGCCUGAGAGGGUGUACGGCCACAUUGGGACUGAGAUACGGCCCAG